GCCAUGGGCUCCAGCCUCCUCUGCUGGGUGGCCCUUUGUCUAAUGGGAGCAGGCCCUGCGGAUGCUGAGGUCACUCAAAGCCCCAGACACCUGGUCACAGCAAGGGGUCAGCCAGUGACCCUGAGAUGCAACUAUGAAUCUGGGCAUGAGUCUGUGUACUGGUACCAACAGACUCUGGGCAAGGGCCCUCGGUUCCUCAUUCAGUAUUUCAGUGGCACAAUGAGAGACAAAGGAGACAUCCCUGAGCGCUUCUCAGUGCAACAGUUCAGUAAGGACUCCAGCUCUGAGCUUAGCGUGAGCUCCGCGGAAGGGGCCGACUCUGCCCUGUACCUCUGUGCCAGCAGCCUCACAGCCCUGCCUGCUCGGCUGCCUCCUGCACAAAAACAGCCCUGGGCAGCCCAGGAAGUGGCAGCAAGGGAGGGAGGCUGCCAGCCAGUCACUCUCAGCCUGUACAGAGGAAAAUCUCUAUGUGUAUACAUAGAACAUACAUGUACUAUCUCUAUGUACAGGAACCAUAAUCAUGUAGGAAACUUGUUUAACUUGUUGACACGCUUGACGGGAAGUAAUAUUAGCAAAGUCAAAUCCUAG